rnacentral:sRNA from 1 species
AACUCUAACAAAACUUCAAGCAAGGAAACGGCCUUUAUUUGACCUGAUCUAAGAAGAACACUAGACUCCAGAUCUAACUAGACAGAAAUCAUGUCGUUCUCAAACGUCUCUAAAACUGUAUAUAAUGCCAUCUUUAAAAGAACCUCGACCGUUUGUCCUUGCUGCUGUCAUUUUAGCUUAUCCAUUUGAAAGAGCUUUCAAUUCGAUAACGGAAAGCUAUUUUCGGCAAAUAAACAAAGGCAAAUUAUGGGAAGACCUCAAAGCCGCUAGAGAAGCAGCCGCAGCCUCUGGGUCAGAAGAAGAAUGAUGGCAGUCUCUCUCUCUGUGUUGUUGGAUGAUUAGAAUAUUAAAAUUGUAUUGUUUGAUUGAAAUGAGAGGUUUAGACUUACCUUUGAACGUUUGAGAAUGUAAUAAUGUUGAAUCUGGAAUUACUUAAUGACUUUUAUUUUUUUUGUAGCAUUAAAGAGAAAUAUAUUAU